GACGAACCGUGCGAACGUUGUUCGGAUUCACUGGGCUUAAAGGGCGCGUAGGCGGGUGUCCAAGUCCGGGGUGAAAUCCUUCGGCCCAACCGGAGAACAGCCUCGGAUACUGGACGUCUCGAGGGGGGUAGGGCACGCGGAACUUCCGGUGGAGCGGUGAAAUGCGUAGAUAUCGGAAGGAACGCCGGUGGCGAAAGCGGCGUGCUGGACCCCUUCUGACGCUGAUGCGCGAAAGCCAGGGGAGCGAACGGG
rnacentral:rRNA from 1 species